rnacentral:lncRNA from 10 species
UGCCGCCAUCCACCUAAGAUGUGACUUGCUCCUUGCCUUCCACCAUGAUUGUGAGGCCUCCCCAGCCAUGUGGAAAUCAUGUUCCAGAAGGCCAGGGCGGUCGGUUCUGCUGCACAAAUGAGGUCAGAGCAAUCAAGAGAGCCAAGGAAGUCCUACUUAUCUGGAUUAAAUAACUCAAUCUACAAACUACUCAACUUUAAUAUAAGGUGGAAAAUAGGAUUUCAAAAGAAAAGAAGAAGGAGAAGAACAAGGACAAGAAACUGAGUUUUGGCAGAAGGCAAGUGAGCAAUUAAAAAUAAAUCUUUCAUGAUUUGCUCCCACAGGCAAAAAAUAUAAUAAUAUUUUUCAAUCCUGCUUAACCCAAAAUAAUCUGAGAUAUUUAAAGUAUUACAACCACUGGUGACAAACCAGGGAGUUUAUUAUGUUCUUUCACAAGCAGAGACGUCUCAGGAGUCGGGUAGUACAUAUGACAAGGAACCAAGUUACCCACAUAACAGUGUGCAGCUUUCUGUCACAUAUGAAAAGGCUGCUGUGUCUGCACCUCACAGCAGUUGGGAAUUCCAUUUUACACAAACUAGGCCAGAAAAUCUACUCUCCAUUCUGGCUGAGAAACCAGGAUAUUUUUUAAUCCUAGUAGGCAUUCAGACACAAAUGGAGUCAAAGCCAGAGAGAAAUUUGCACACCUUCCAAACCAAUACUUCACUACAAAUAGGGGUCAGUGUCUUAAGGCACACCAGUAGUUAAUAGCAGAAUCCCAUAUUAGAAAGCUCAACAUUUCAGAAACCCAACCAAUACUCCAAAAUAAAUGCAUCAUUUUAUUUGCAAAGUAGGGCAUCAUUACCUAAAGAUAACAGCAUCUGCAGAAAUACUUACUUAGCAACUAAAUCACAAGGUCUUCCUUAGAGCUUCCUUUAGGCUAGAAAUAGUCCCUGCUUAGCCAGCUGGCCUGAAAAACUAACGACAAACAUAAAAAUCAAAAGAAUUCCAGAGCUCAUCGUAGCCCUCAUCUGCUCAAAAGGGUGUCUGUAGCACUUUUUUGAGAUUGAGGGUUAUAAAGCUAGUGGUAGGGGGAAAUGCCUGGAUUUUCUUCCUUUGUGGAAUGUUUUUAUACCUGGAAAUAUCUACUGUUCUAGUUAAUCAAAUGUACAACUUUUUCUUCAACUGUUACUUAAACUUAAGGUUGAAACUAUUGCCAACAGUUGAAACAAGCCAAGGCAGAUUUUAGACACUGGACUGUGUCAGCACUGGCCAUAACUGCAGUGCAUCUAGGUCCAUGAGAACACUGAGUAAUGCUUGUUUCCAGGCAGCCAAAGAGAUCUUAAAGGAAGAUACUUUACUGUUCUGUUUCUAGAAACACAUUUUAGAAGCUCCCAUUGCUGCUAUCCUAAUUUUGUUGUGAUUUCCAAAUGUAUUUUAUUUGCAAAGAAAGCAAACACUUCCAUAUUAAUGAAAUGCUGAUUAUAAAGAAAAAUAAGCUUAUGUCAUAUUUUAUCCCUUUAAUUUACAAUGAAGUAUAUUUUAAAUUCACACAUGAGCAUGUGGAAAGAAAGAGAUAAUAAUUCCACAAUGAAUUAUCUGUAGAAAAUGUUAUUUCUAAUUUACUUUUGACCUAAACAUAAGGGCAGAAAGAUUCAUAGAUGACUAUUCUAACAGAGCUUGCUUGAAUCACUCAUAUCAUUUUAUUUUCAUUGAGCCCUAGUUAUCCAAAAGAUACUGUGGUAAGUGCUGAGGAAAUAGGAAGAACUAUGAGAUAAACUCCAGCUUUCUUGACAUCUGAUCUGAGUAAAGUUAAUAAACACACAAUUAAAAUGCAGUGCAGGUCAGUAUAUAAAAAGUAUCCUGCACACCAAGUGCAUAGUUCAAGGGACUUCCUAUCAGGAAUUAUGAGGGAAACUUCUGCCUCAAUCAGUAGUCUGCAAACUACAGCCCACAGGCCAAAUCUACCUGUCACCUGUUUUUAGAUGGCCCAUGAGCUGAGACUAGUUUUUAACAUUUUUAAAUUGUUAAACAAAACUGAUUGAACAAAACUAAACAGGAGAAUAGUAUAUCAUGACACAUGAAAAAUAUUUAAAACUGAAUGUUCAAUGUCAGCAAGUAAAGGGUUUGUUGUUGUUGUUUAUUUGUUUGUUUUAAGAGACAUGGUCUCUUUCUGUCACACAGGCUAGAAUACAGUGGUGUGGGCCUACUUCACUGCAGCCUGUAACUCCUGGGCUCAAGUAAUCCUCCCAUCUCAGCCUCUUGAGUAGCUGGGACUACAAGCACAUGCCCAGCUAAAUUUUUUAUUUUGUUGUAUGGACAGGAUCUGCCUAUGCUGACCAGGUUGGUACAAAUGAAGUUUUAUUGGAACACAGCUACACCCAUUCCUUUGUAUAUUAUCUAUGUCUGCUUUCAUGCUACAACAGAGUUGAAUGAUUACCACAAUUACUGUAUGGCUCAGAAAGCCUAGAAUAUUUGUUGUCUGGCCCUUCACAGGAAAAAAAAAAAAAAGUCAAUUCCUGGCCUAGAGGAUUGAGAGAAGCUUUAUGAUUGACCUGUAUUUUGAAGGAAAGAAGUUUGUACUGGCAAAGUCAUAAGUGAGGGGUGAUUUUGGGGGAAAGGAAUGUGCCAGCAUAGCACUGGAAAGACACCUGGCUUACUCAGAAGGUAGUGAACACAUCAGUGCCACUGGGGUGAAAAGCUUAUGAAGAAACUUAAGAUGAAUGAUGCAUACUGAAAAGACAGGUGGGGCUCAUCUUGAGGACAGUCUUGAAUGCUUGGCUUGAGGAUGGGGAGGAAAGAAGUACUUCCCAUGCCCCUACACCACUUCUAUUUUCCUGUGGAAAAUAAAGACCAAGUAAGCAUUUUUUUAAAAAAACUGAAGAGUGACCUAUUCAAAGGAAAUUUGAUAGAAAAACCUUCCAUCAACUAAUUUGGCAACAAUUGUGUAGAAUGGAAGGUUGGUAGGAAGAGAAUAAUAAAAAGAUAAAGGAUAUUAAAAACAAAGAUUUAGUUAGAAGACUCUUAAAUUGUUCUAUCAGUAAAAAAGCAAGACAAAGAGAGAACUGUGUGGCUGCCUUAUGGAUAUCUGUACACCCAAAGAUCUACAUAGAGAACACACUUAAUGUACAAUGGGCAAAUAAAGGCACAAAUGGAUAAAAGGGCAGUAGGAAAGAGGGAAGUGGAGAUGAGAAGGACCGCAGGAAAUGGGGAAAGGAAAACAUUGAUGGAUUUUGGCAACUGACUGAGUGAAGAAAACAAAAAAUAGACACAUUAGUAGAUUAAGGUAAGCAAGGAAACCAUGUUUAACAUUUAGCUUUACCCAUGCAGAAUUUUAGGCAACAAAAGGUCAUUCACAAGAAACUGUCUAGCAGCAAUUGGAAAUGUGAGACGCUAGCUCUGGAGCAAGAUCAGUCAAGAUAGGGAUGAGAAGCACCCAUCUAUUCUUCAGAGAUAAGUCUAACAAUCCCAACGUGCUUCUCAUGAAUAACUGGCAGGAACUUACUAUGCCUAGAUUUAUUUUAGGAUGGGUAUGCAACUUUCUAAACCUUCCAGAGUGAGUUAUAUAGACAGAAUUUCUCACUGUGCAGCAGUUUGCAUCGUAUAUUAAAGAUGAACUUAUUAACAUGACAUUCAUUGUCCUCAGAGAUUCCACAAUCACAUCACAAUUUGCACUAACAAAAAGAGGAAGGGAAGGAG